CCCUUAGAUGUUCUGGGCUGCACGCGCGCUACACUGAUGCACUCAACGAGUUUACGACCUUGCCCGAUAGGGUUGGGUAAUCUUUUUAAAAUGCAUCGUGAUGGGGAUAGAUUAUUGCAAUUAUUAAUCUUCAACGAGGAAUUCCUAGUAAGUGCAAGUCAUCAGCUUGCGCUGAUUACGUCCCUGCCCUUUGUACACACCGCCCGUCGCUACUACCGAUUGAAUGGUUUAGUGAGAUCUUUGGAUUGGCGCUGUGGGGGUGGCAACGCUCCUUCAGAUUGCUGAGAAAUUGCUCAAACUUGAUCAUUUAGAGGAAGUAAAAGUCGUAACA
rnacentral:rRNA from 1 species